CACCGAGGGUAGGUCAUUAUUUGUCAGGCAGAUGUAUUGUGACAGAGAACAGGCAAUGACAGUGGGGGAGAAAGGGAGAGUGUCUUCCUUAAGUCAUGUCUGGCUGUGUCUGCUUUGCUGGAUGCCAUAAUGAAGGACCAUGAGACACCAUCUUUGUCCACCCCCCCGCUCCCCCCACCAACACCCAUCCUUUCAGCAGCCAAGCCACAAAAUAGGUCGGUUGAACUGAAUCCCAUUUCUUCUUAGUUGUGGAUGUGGAUUGUAGGUGGUUGCUGGGGAUGCUGACUUGAGAAGUUAGAAGCCGACUCACUGCUUUCUGGAAGAACACACUGGGAUCGAUUAGUGAUGUCUGCCAUGGGAAUGGGAUUGGCAAUUGGGGCUGUGGGUGUCAUCGACGGGUUGGAUCUCCGAGUCCUGUUCCUUCAUUCAAUAAGCAGUUAACAAA
rnacentral:lncRNA from 1 species